AGUCACUGACAUUAGAUACCCCUGUAGUCCAGGGUGUAAACGUUGCAGACUUGGUGUUGGGGGCCCUUUGGGGGCAUUCAGUGCCGGAGAGAAGUUGUUAAGUCUGCUACUUGGGGAGUACGUCCGCAAGGAUGAAACUUAAAGGAAUUGGCGGGGGAGCACCGCAACGGGAGGAGCGUGCGGUUUAAUUGGAUUCAACACCGUAAAACUCACCAGGGAAGACUGUUACAUGAAGGCCGAGAUGAAGACUCUGCUAGAUUUUCAG
rnacentral:rRNA from 1 species